AUUGAACGCUGGCGGCAUGCCUUACACAUGCAAGUCGAACGGUAACAGGUCUUCGGAUGCUGACGAGUGGCGAACGGGUGAGUAAUACAUCGGAACGUGCCUAGUAGUGGGGGAUAACUACUCGAAAGAGUGGCUAAUACCGCAUGAGAUCUACGGAUGAAAGCAGGGGAUCGCAAGGCCUUGUGCUACUAGAGCGGCCGAUGGCAGAUUAGGUAGUUGGUGGGAUAAAAGCUUACCAAGCCGACGAUCUGUAGCUGGUCUGAGAGGACGAUCAGCCACACUGGGACUGAGACACGGCCCAGACUCCUACGGGAGGCAGCAGUGGGGGAUUUUGGACAAUGGGCGCAAGCCUGAUCCAGCAAUGCCGCGUGCAGGAUGAAGGCCUUCGGGUUGUAAACUGCUUUUGUACGGAACGAAAAGCCUUGGGUUAAUACCCUGGGGUCAUGACGGUACCGUAAGAAUAAGCACCGGCUAACUACGUGCCAGCCGCCGCAGUAACAC
rnacentral:rRNA from 1 species